rnacentral:misc_RNA from 1 species
AACGCACCUUGCGCCCUUUGGCUAUUCCGAAGGGCAUGCCUGUUUGAGUAUCAUGAAAUUCUCAACCUUUUCUUACUUUUGUAAGGAAAGGCUUGGAUGUGGAAGUCUGCAGGCCCUCCUAGUGAGGUCAGCUCUUCUCAAAUGCAUUAGCAGGACUUUUAUCAUUCACUGGUCUUGGUGUGAUAAUUAUCUACGCCAUUUCCAAUAUGUGUGGUUCAGCUUUCCAAUUGUCCCUUGGGACAACUUUCUUGACAACUUUGACCUCAAAUCAGGUAGGACUACCCGCUGAACUUAA